rnacentral:misc_RNA from 1 species
GCAAACUUGGUCAUUUAGAGGAAGUACAAGUCGUAACAAGGUUUCCGUAGGUGAACCUGCGGAAGGAUCAUUAACAACAACAAAUCGUCCACCUCUUCUCUCCUCUCCCCUUCUUUUGUUGUGGGUGGGGUGGGGGUGGAAUAUAUGCUCUCCAGCGGUUGUCUGGGUGUGCACAUUGUGUUAUUUUAUUAUUAUCUGCUUUUUAUUGUAUUGUAUUUUUAAUGUUGGAUGCAAUUUAUUUAUAUACCACUUUUAACAAUGGAUCUCUUGGCUCUUGCAUCGAUGAAGAACGCAGC